ACGCUCGACACCUACGGGAGCAGCAGUGGGGAAUAUUGGGCAAUGGGCGAAAGCCUGACCCAGCAACGCCGCGUGAGGGAAGAAGGUUUUCGGAUUGUAAACCUCUGUCCUCAGGGACGAAGGACGUGACGGUACCUGAGGAGGAAGCCCCGGCUAACUACGUGCCAGCAGCCGCGGUAAUCUGAGGCGGGCUGGCAAGGCU
rnacentral:rRNA from 1 species